UACAAAUGUUCUGUUAUUGAACAUAAACCCUCUGGUUACAAGGUGUGCUAUAAAGUUGGUUAACAUGAUAAUUGCAGUCAGGAAGAACUUAAGGCAGCUUUUGUAGGCUUGGCUAAGAAACAUCAUCCUGACAGUAAUCAAGAAGCUGAUUCAGCAAAAUUCCAACUGAUUGAAAAUGCAUACAGAAAGCUCCAAGAAAAAUUCAGCAAUGAGAUCAAGAGAUCAGAAUUAUUGACACACAAAGACAAAAAUAUUGUAAACAAAGACAUAACUCCAGAAGAAAGUGAACACAAUCUAGAACAUGAUAUUGAACAUACAGCCCCACAACACAGGCAAUUCCUUAAUUAUGAAGGCAUUGGGCAGGGUACACCUUUUCAAAGAGAGAAGCAAUACCAAAGACAUCAAGUUAAGAAAACAGUGGAGAAUGUGUAUAAUCAUCGUAUUUCCCAAAUUCCUAACACCGAAGAAAAUUCACUUAUUCGGAAAGAUAAUAUAGCAGCAAAGAAA
rnacentral:lncRNA from 1 species